rnacentral:rRNA from 1 species
GACAGAGGUGGCAAGCGUUGUUCGGAAUUACUGGGCUUAAAGGGCGAGUAGGCGGUGGAGCAAGUCUGAUGUGGAAUCCUAUGGCUUAACCAUAGAACUGCCUUAGAAACUGCUUUACUUGAGUCAGUGAGGGGAGGGCGGAAUUCCUGGUGUAGCGGUGAAAUGCGUAGAUAUCAGGAGGAAGGCCUGUGGCGAAAGCGGCCCUCUGGCACUGUACUGACGCUGAGGCGCGAAAGCGUGGGGAGCAAAC